GUCCUUAGUCUACCUAGUGUUUCUUCUAACUCUCAACUGUACACAGUGUCUAUCCUGGCUUACUACAGCUAUACAAAAUUGUGUAAUUAAAAAAAUGGGGACUGGCUUCCUUCUCACUUCCGCAAUCGAGAUGUGAGAUCGAUGAACAAAUCCUCGCUGCAGGGAAUAGUCACACCACCCAUUGGAUGGUCGAAGCCAAAUUCUUCCUCAGAUUGACUAAGCAAGUCUUGAAAUAAAGGUUCGCUCAAGAAUGAUAUCGGGAUCACAAAUCUCUUUUUCUGCAUCUCCCCAACAUACACAGCAAAAUGACCCUUGGGAAUAUCUCUAGUUGCAGAAGACUUCUUGAUCAUACGAAGAAUAGCCAUGAUCUCUUAUUUUAGUAUAGAUGAGAAAAAAAGAAGGAUUGUAAGGUUACCCAAAAGCAGAGAAAGCUUUG